UUGCUGUAACAGAUCAAGUGCACACUCAAUUGUUGAGAAGCAAGGACAUCUGUAUGCAUUCAGGCUCAUCGAAUGCUAAUUGGAUGUUAUAGACAUAUCCAUAUAUAUCUAUAUAUAUAUAUAAUGUAUCCGUGAGAGGAUUAAUAGCCUGCCUAGCUACUCUUCUACAUCGUAUGCAACACUAUUCGUUACCUCCAACAGCGGGAAACUAUUCAAGGAAAAUUCGUGUUAAUUGGAUUUUCGUUAAGCCUCAGCUGUGUCACCGAAAAAAAAAAUCCCUUUUCAAUUAUUCAAUGUUCUAUCAAUCCGUAUUAACAGAUUUUAUCAGAGGAAGACGGUCUAUAAGUAGAGCUAAUUUACGGGAUAAAUUACCAGUGCGAUUGAUUUAUCAUCAUGUAAUUUGCUGGUGGAUGGUGUCGGGGAUUGCGUCAUUAUCUAUGCUGAGUGUGUGCCCAACUCCGGUGGCGGGUAACAGAUCGGACGAAAUCCACAUCAGCAGCAUAUCUUUUCCGCAUCCUCGGGACUAACAGUCAUCCCAUUAUUGGCUAACGACUCACUGACUGUUUAUUUGACAGUACGAUAAUCCACGCCGCGGGAAUUCGUACGACUGAAUGCGAGCCCGCGCGAAAGACAAGUAACAGCCAUAGGGCCGAGGUUUUGUUAACGCGCAUGUCUGACGCGUGCAACGCCUUACUACUGUACUCCGGAGUCUAUUCUUCGUUACUUUUUUAUUCAGCUUUGUAUUGGGAAUAUACGAUUUUAGCGUCUCAACAAAAGAGAACAAGAGAAGAACAAGCUUGAGGCGAUCGAGCUCUAUAAGGAAGGAACCAAAAGUUGUUGAAGAAAAUUGCUGGUUGCUCGAUUUUUCGAGAUACCAUUUGAGUGUCAUUGUUUCACUGGCUGGACAUUCCGUUAUGUAAUUAAUUAAUCAACCAGAGGAAGACGGGCAGAGGAAAAAGAGGAUGAGAAUGAGCAUCAGGUCCCAUCGGCAUUCAAUUAACUCGUAAACUUUCAUCAGAAUAUCCAGAGUAAUUGCGCAUCGUUGCGGGAUCCCCGUCGAUGCCUGCAUCACCAAUGGAUGGAUAAAAGUUGAGGGACACAAAACAUACUGUAGACACUAACGAGCACCGUCAACCAGCUGUGUUUCCGUACUGGCUUCCCGAUAAUAUCCAUUUGCACUGCAACACUAGACCCAGCUAAUGUAAUUUUGUCAUCCGAAAAACUUUUAAUUAUCAUUCUGGUUAACUAAUAUUCAAUUUUCAUUUUUUUUACAAACUUUCAUUUUAUUACUCCAUCAAAUUGAUGGACGCCAUGGAAACUAAAAUAACAUAAAUAUGCACAAGAGCGACAGCGAAAUUUUAUAGUUGGAAAUAUAAAUGGAAGCUACUGCAUAUUUUCCGAAAAAAAAAAAUAUUAUUUUACUUUGAGUAAGUCAACAAAAUCUCAGCAAAAUGUCAUACUACUAACACUUACGUUCAUUGAGAGAGUUGGACUGAAGAUGAACCUCCGGUCUGGGUAAUAUCGGACGCGUCGGAAAUUACGCCAGAGGGAAAGCAACUCGAGAGGCAUUAAAAAAAAAGAACAUAAAAUAAGAAGCAAAGGUGAAAGUGCACUGGAUCCGGAUAUUUCCUUUUUACUUUCCACUAGUUAGAAGUAGGUUUAUUACUGAGAAGCUUUUAGCCCACUGAUGCUAUUUCUGUUAUUAUUAUUAUCAUUUUAUAAAGGGCGUGAAUACACAAGAUGGACUGAAAGUUUCAAAACUAAUUUUCUGCGUCAACUGGCUCGCUUUCAAGACUCAAUCUAUCACUGUUUCGAUCUUGUUCAAAGUAUGAACGAGCUCUUGUUUCUUGUGUACAAACCACGACGUGUCUUGCUAAAUAGUUCCUAUAUCCCCUUGUAGUUUCAUCGAGUCUGCUACUCAAUAUAUCGACCAGUGGCGAACCUCAUUGACGGCAUUGAUUAAUCAUCAAUCUUUGAGAUGAGAGAGCACAGGGAUGAGAAAAAAUACUUUUAAAUAAAAAAAAAUAUAUAUAUAUAUAUAUAUAUUAGAGUGUCUCAAAAAAUCGACUUAUUUUUUUUUUCUUG